rnacentral:rRNA from 1 species
GGGUCAGUAGGUUGGUCGUGCCACCGGUACGUACUGGUCUCACUGAUUCCUCCUUCCUGAAGAACCGUAAUGACAUUAAUUUGGUGUUGCGGGGAAACAGGACUGUUACUUUGAAAAAAUUAGAGUGUUUAAAGCAAGCUAACGCUUGAAUACAUUAGCAUGGAAUAAUGAAAUAGGACGAUGGAGCCUAUUUUGUUGGUUUCUAGGAUUGACGUA